rnacentral:lncRNA from 1 species
GAACCUGGUUUCGCCCAGAAUGGCAGAAACUCAGCUCCCCUAUGCAUUUAUGCCUCCAAUCUCAUCCAAACAUGCAUAAACCUAUUCUACAACACUCAUACACAAGCAUACAAGUUCCUAGGGGCAUCAACUAACUAAAACCCCAUCUAUAACACAUCCAACAUACAUUUGCAAGCCACAUUGUUCAAAAUCACCUCAAAAACCCAUAAGCUCAACACAAGCUACACAUGCAUUUUCUACCCCAUGAACUUGCAUAAAACUUGCUUAAAACAUAAAGUAAGCUAGAGAUCGACUCUUACCUCUUGAAGAUCGAGGGUAGAGGCGAUCUAACUUGGAGUUGGAAGAUAUUUGAGUUCUUGAACCUCAAAGCUCCAAAACUUGCUCAAAACUUGGAAAUCUUCAAAACAAGAUGAAAACUAGUGAAAAACUCGAAAGAUCUGAAGGAAAAGACUCAAGAUCGGUGAGGGGUGGCGGAGAACUCACCUUGGCCGGAAA